rnacentral:rRNA from 1 species
UCAGGGCUUAACUNUGAGCUUGCUUUCGAUACGGGCUGACUNGAGGGAGGUAGGGGAGAAUGGAAUUCCUGGUGGAGCGGUGGAAUGCGCAGAUAUCAGGAGGAACACCGGUGGCGAAGGCGGUUCUCUGGACCUUUCCUGACGCUGAGAAGCGAAAGCGUGGGGAGCGAACAGGCUUAGAUACCCUGGUAGUCCACGCUGUAAACGGUGGGUACUAGGUGUGGGGGACAUUCCACGUUCUCCGUGCCGUAGCUAACGCAUUAAGUACCCCGCCUGGGGAGUACGGCCGCAAGGCUAAAACUCAAAGGAAUUGACGGGGCCCCGCACAAGCGGCGGAGCAUGCGGAUUAAUUCGAUGCAACGCGAAGAACCUUACCUGGGUUUGACAUAUGCCGGAAGCGUUCAGAGAUGGGCGUGCCUUUUUGGUCGGUUUACAGGUGGUGCAUGGCUGUCGUCAGCUCGUGUCGUGAGAUGUUGGGUUAAGUCCCGCAACGAGCGCAACCCUCGUCCAAUGUUGCCAGCGGGUUAUGCCGGGGACUCAUUGGAGACCGCCGGGGUCAACUCGGAGGAAGGUGGGGAUGACGUCAAGUCAUCAUGCCCCUUAUGUCCAGGGCUUCACGCAUGCUACAAUGGCCGGUACAGUGAGCUGCGAGCCUGUGAGGGUGAGCGAAUCUCUAAAAGCCGGUCUCAGUUCGGAUUGGGGUCUGCAACUCGACCCCAUGAAGUCGGAGUCGCUAGUAAUCGCAGAUCAGCAACGCUGCGGUGAAUACGUUCCCGGGGCUUGUACACACCGCCCGUCAAGUCAUGAAAGUCGGUAACACCCGAAGCCGGUGGCCUAACCCGUUUGGGAGGAAGCUG